rnacentral:rRNA from 1 species
AUUGAACGCUGGCGGCAGGCUUAACACAUGCAAGUCGAACGAGUGGCGGACGGGUGAGUAAUGUCUGGGAAACUGCCUGAUGGAGGGGGAUAACUACUGGAAACGGUAGCUAAUACCGCAUACCAUCGGAUGUGCCCAGAUGGGAUUAGCUAGUAGGUGGGGUAAUGGCUCACCUAGGCGACGCUCCCUAGCUGGGCUGAGAUGAGUACCAGCCACACUGGAACUGAGACACGGUCCAGACUCCUACGGUAGGCAGCAGUGGGGAAUAUUGCACAAUGGGCGCAAGCCUGAUACAGCCAUGCCGCGUGUAUGAAGAAGGCCUUCGGGUUGUAAAGUACUUUCAGCGAGGAGGCGUUACCCGCAGAAGAAGCACCGGCUAACUCCGUGCCAGCAGCCGCGGUAAUUC